rnacentral:tRNA from 1 species
GCAUUGGUGGUUCAGUGGUAGAAUUCUCGCCUGCCACGCGGGAGGCCAGGGUUUGAUUCCCGGCCAAUGCA